rnacentral:rRNA from 1 species
GACGAACGCUGGCGGCGUGCUUAACACAUGCAAGUCGAACGGAGUGCCUAUGACAGAGACUUCGGUCAAUAGAUUAGGUUACUUAGUGGCGGACUGGUGAGUAACGCGUGAGGAACCUGCCUUCAGAGGGGGACAACAGUUAGGAAACGACUGACUAAUACCGCAUGAUACUAGUUUGGGCGGCAUCCGGCCCGGAUGUACAAAGUAUUUUAUCGCUAGAAAGA